rnacentral:rRNA from 1 species
CAGUCGAACGCACAGCGAAAGGUGCUUGCACCUUUCAAGUGAGUGGCGAACGGGUGAGUAACACGUGGACAACCUGCCUCAAGGCUGGGGAUAACAUUUGGAAACAGAUGCUAAUACCGAAUAAAACUUAGUGUCGCAUGACACAAAGUUAAAAGGCGCUUCGGCGUCACCUAGAGAUGGAUCCGCGGUGCAUUAGUUAGUUGGUGGGGUAAAGGCCUACCAAGACAAUGAUGCAUAGCCGAGUUGAGAGACUGAUCGGCCACAUUGGGACUGAGACACGGCCCAAACUCCUACGGGAGGCUGCAGUAGGGAAUCUUCCACAAUGGGCGAAAGCCUGAUGGAGCAACGCCGCGUGUGUGAUGAAGGCUUUCGGGUCGUAAAGCACUGUUGUAUGGGAAGAACAGCUAGAAUAGGAAAUGAUUUUAGUUUGACGGUACCAUACCAGAAAGGGACGGCUAAAUACGUGCCAGCAGCCGCGGUAAUACGUAUGUCCCGAGCGUUAUCCGGAUUUAUUGGGCGUAAAGCGAGCGCAGACGGUUUAUUAAGUCUGAUGUGAAAGCCCGGAGCUCAACUCCGGAAUGGCAUUGGAAACUGGUUAACUUGAGUGCAGUAGAGGUAAGUGGAACUCCAUGUGUAGCGGUGGAAUGCGUAGAUAUAUGGAAGAACACCAGUGGCGAAGGCGGCUUACUGGACUGCAACUGACGUUGAGGCUCGAAAGUGUGGGUAGCAAACAGGAUUAGAUACCCUGGUAGUCCACACCGUAAACGAUGAACACUAGGUGUUAGGAGGUUUCCGCCUCUUAGUGCCGAAGCUAACGCAUUAAGUGUUCCGCCUGGGGAGUACGACCGCAAGGUUGAAACUCAAAGGAAUUGACGGGGACCCGCACAAGCGGUGGAGCAUGUGGUUUAAUUCGAAGCAACGCGAAGAACCUUACCAGGUCU